UGGGGAAUCUUGCGCAAUGGACGAAAGUCUGACGCAGCAACGCCGCGUGGGUGAUGAAGGUCUUCGGAUCGUAAAGCCCUGUCGGAGGGGAAGAUGCUUUCACUGUCUAACAGAUAGUGGAGAUGACGGUACCCUUAAAGGAAGCACCGGCUAACUCUGUGCCAGCAGCCGCGGUAAUACAGAGGGUGCAAGCGUUGUUCGGAAUUAUUGGGCGUAAAGGGAGUGUAGGCGGUUAUCUAAGUUUCCUGUGAAAUCUGCGGGCUAAGCCUGACAAAGAGCAGGGAAAACUGGAAGACUAGAGUGUCGGAGAGGAAAGCGGAAUUCCCGGUGUAGAGGUGAAAUUCGUAGAGAUCGGGAGGAACACCAGUGGCGAAGGCGGCUUUCUGGCUGACAACUGACGCUGAGACUCGAAAGCAUGGGGAGCAAACGGGAUUAGAUACCCUGGUAGUCCAUGCCGUAAACGAUGAUAACUAGAUGUGGGAGGUAUUGACCCCUUCCGUGUCGCAGCUAACGCGAUAAGUUAUCCGCCUGGGGAGUACGGCCGCAAGG
rnacentral:rRNA from 1 species